AAAAAACUAGUUAAUUUCAUAACAAAAGAAUGUCAUUCUUUAAUUACUUAAAUAAAAAGUGUUUUUUA
rnacentral:tRNA from 1 species